rnacentral:misc_RNA from 1 species
AACAAGGCGUACCUGCGGACCUGCGGAGGGAUCAUUACAAGUGACCCCGGUUUACCACCGGGAUGUUCAUAACCCUUUGUUGUCCGACUCUGUUGCCUCCGGGGCGACCCUGCCUUCGGGCGGGGGCUCCGGGUGGACACUUCAAACUCUUGCGUAACUUUGCAGUCUGAGUAAACUUAAUUAAUAAAUUAAAACUUUUAACAACGGAUCU